UACAAUGGUCGGUACAGAGGGUUGCCAAGCCGCGAGGCGGAGCCAAUCCCACAAAGCCGAUCGUAGUCCGGAUUGUUCUCUGCAACUCGAGAGCAUGAAGUCGGAAUCGCUAGUAAUCGCAGGUCAGCAUACUGCGGUGAAUACGUUCCCGGGUCUU
rnacentral:rRNA from 1 species